GGACUACCCGGGUAUCUAAUCCCGUUUGCUCCCCUGGCCUUCGUGCCUCAGUGUCAGUAACUGUCCAGAGAUUCGCCUUCGCCACUGGUCUUCCUUACGAUAUCUACGCAUUUCACUGCUACACCGUAAAUUCCAAUCUCCUCUCCAGUACUCUAGCAAAGUAGUAUCCAGUGCAGUUCCGGGGUUGAGCCCCGGGAUUUCACACCAGACUUGCCUCGCCACCUACGCACCCUUUACGCCCAAUGAAUCCGAACAACGCUUGAGACCUCUGUAUUACCGCGGCUGCUGGCAC
rnacentral:rRNA from 1 species